rnacentral:lncRNA from 1 species
UUUGCUCAUGUUUUAAGUGAAUCAAGGUUGAUUUGAUAUUUUGGUGGACCUGAAAUCAUGUGAAAUAUGAGGGUUUUCAGGUGCUUUAUGCGAUACGGAAACAGCAAAUCAUGCAGGAGCAGAUGUAAUGUAUUUUUGCGCGACUUCAUCCAGAUGAAUUUGAGUUUCACCUUGAGUUUCAGAGUUUGGUUAAAUCCAGACUGCAUGGGCGAGCUCGUGGAUAAGGGCCCAUUGUGAGCUCCCCACGGACAGAAUGCACAUAACUCUAGGUACUGCAUUCCUGCUUUUCAUACGCUCUCUUUGAUAUUGGAUGAAUUCAUCUCUGUAACCUUUCUUUUCAAAUCCCUCUGCUACAUCCACUGACCUUUUGUUGAACUCUUCCCAUUUUCCCAACCUCGGUUUUGAAUGAGGGCACCAGAACGGUGCAGAAUCCCAAGCCCGUYGCGGUAUGAAGUGAGCAGCACUGCCUCGUUUUGCUUUGCGCUUGCUUUACUCACCCCGCAUUGAAUUGUUUUGUGGCUUUGUCACCCUGUUAUUUUAGGUGUCCUCCAUUGCCAGGGAUUGAUAUAGCUCAAAGAUCUUUGAGAAACCUGGUAGCAGAACUGGGGGGAGGGAGAGGAAAUACAGGGAUCCCUUUCUCUGCAGCAAAGCUCUGGGGAUAGCGCUUGGGUGAGGUGAUUUGCUAUCGUUAAUAUGCGUUGUUGGGUUUGGAGGUGAGAGUUGGUGGGUGAGUUAGGUUAAAGGGAAGAGUGGGUUAGGUUAGGUUUCAGUGAUGAAAAGGAACUUGCAUGAUCUUCAACCACGCUCCAUCCUCUCUGUUGACUAACAGGGCAUCAGAGGAGGAUAUCAAGAGUAAUCUGGACAUAGCAGCUUUCUUCCAGGGAUCUCAAAACACUCUAAGGACAUGCUUUUCUCUGCAAACUUCCUCUCACUCCAUUUUUGUGAGAACUCUUCCUGCAAACUGGGUCCCUAAGAGGAUUAGUGAAGGGGGUACCAAUUUAUUUAUACUCACCUCAGCAUGGCAGCAGCCAAACAUUGUAAGUCGCUGGAUUAUUAAAUGGUUUGUAACACAUGAAAGAAGCUUUGCAGUUCAGAGUGGACAGGUGUCUACAUCACAGCCAGUCUGAACUGAUCCCCAACUUUGGCGGUUUUUUCUCUUCUUAACCUGUGCACGUUGGCAGUAUGAACAGACAUACUCAGGACUAAGUGGACUACAGAGAUUAGGUCCCUUCAAGUGUGAGACUAUUGUAGAUACACGUUAUUGCUAUUCUCAGGGCAAAGAUGCCUUUGGUCACCACAGAACAGUUUUCAGGCAUCUUUCAGUUGCACUUAGUUCCCUUGGGAAAAAAAAAAAAAAAAAAAAAAGAGAGAGAGAGAGGUAUGAGAAGCCAGGAGAAAACCCUCAGGCUUUUUCCGCUUAAACUUCCCUUUCCUGUUAGCCACAGUGCCAAGUGAUAUUGCCAUUUGUGUCAUCUUCUAUAGCGCCUGGCUGGAAUGAUCCCAAAAGAGCAAGCCGAAGUAAAUACACGGCUAUGAUCAAAAGAGGGUGAAGCCUCUCUCUUUUGCGCCAGCCUACAGAUGCUUAGGUUUUGGAAUGUGAGUCUUUGAAAAACAAGGUAGUGGAGCUCUAGUAAAUAAAGUGUGCAGAUGUUGGUGAUGAUUCA